rnacentral:ncRNA from 1 species
AAGGAUUGCACUUUAAAUCCUUUAAGGCAGUGGUUCUCAACCUGUGGGUCGCAACCCCUUUGGGGGUCAAACGACCAUUUCACAGGGGUCGCCUAAGACCAUCGGAAAACACAUAUAUAAUUACAUAUUGUUUUGUGGUUAAUCACUAUGCUUUAUGUUCAAUUUGUAACAAUGAAAUUGGGGGUCACCACAACAUGAGGAACUGUAUUAAAGGGUCCCGGCGUUAGGAAGGUUGAGAACCACUGCUUUAAGGAGAUAUUCUAUGGCUAGAGGUGAAAUUUUCAGACCUGCGCAAGAGGGACCAGUGAAAGCAUUUACCAAGAAUGUUUUCAUUAAUCAAGAACUAAAGUCGGAGGUUCCAAGAUAAUCAGAUACAGUCAUAGUUCAGACCAUAAAGGAUGCCCACUGGCU